rnacentral:rRNA from 1 species
GACGAACGCUGGCGGCGUGCUUAACACAUGCCAGUCGAGCGGAAAGGCCCUUCGGGGUACUCGAGCGGCGAACGGGUGAGUAACACGUGAGUAACCUGCCCUAGGCUUUGGGAUAACCCCGGGAAACCGGGGCUAAUACCGGAUAUGACCUGGUGCCGCAUGGUGUUGGGUGGAAAGUUUUUUCGGCCUGGGAUGGGCUCGCGGCCUAUCAGCUUGUUGGUGGGGUGAUGGCCUACCAAGGCGAUGACGGGUAGCCGGCCUGAGAGGGCGACCGGCCACACUGGGACUGAGACACGGCCCAGACUCCUACGGGAGGCAGCAGUGGGGAAUAUUGCACAAUGGGCGGAAGCCUGAUGCAGCGACGCCGUGUGAGGGAUGAAGGCCUUCGGGUUGUAAACCUCUUUCAGCAGGGACGAAGCGUGAGUGACGGUACCUGCAGAAGAAGCGCCGGCCAACUACGUG